UGCAAUGAAUAUUUACAAGUUUGUAAAAUAUGAAAUAUAUAUAUGACCAAUUUUGUUAUCCGCAACAGUUUGUACAUUUUAUAUCAGUGAAUUUGUCCGAUUGUAACAUUUGUAUGUGUUAUUUAAAUAUUUUCACAUAAUUUCCGAGCCCUGUAUUAGGAUGGACUCGUUUCUAAGGUCAUUUGUGUUUAUGGCUACCUUUUUCGUUAUCCUUCAGUCCAUCAACGCCCAUUGGAUUGGGGGAUGGGGUCGUCCGGCCUAUGGAUAUGGUUAUGGUUACGGAGGAGUCCGUUAUGGUUACGGAUAUGGAGGCUUCGGAGGUGUCUACGCUCCUCUGCCUCCCUUGCCUCCUCCUCCCCCGCCACUAAUCUAUGGUUAAAAAAUGAUAAAAAAAACUAUUAUUGUGAUAUAGUUAAAUUAUAGAAUCACUAAGGACACGUAUUAAGCUGACUGUUUUUUAUUAUUUUGUUGGUUUAUUAUUAUUUUUGUUUUGUUUAAUUCCACUAAAUUAUUUUGUUUAAUUCCGCUACAUUAUUAUGUAUGAGAUAUCCAUUAUUAUGUCAUCCAUUAUCUGUCUACUGCUGAACAUAGGCCUCUUCUAUAGACUGCCAAAAAGAACGGUUCUAAGCCACUUGUAUUCACUGACUUCAUACAAAUUAUUUUAAUAUUAUUGUUUAGCUUUCAUACUCCUCACGUAUACUAAUGAUAGCGGGAUUAAACAAAAUAAUAAAAAUAAGUAAGUAGCCAGUAUUACGAUUCUAAUGUAAGUGCAUAUAGUUUAAUUUAAUUUUGUGACUUCAUUUAGUUUUAUUUCAGAUUUUGUUAAAAUUAAAACAUUAUAAAUAUAAAUACUUUUGUUUAUAUUUGACAUUUUAUUAACAAUUAUUAAUUCGAUUUUUGUAAGAAAAAUAAAAUAUGUGAAUAUUA